GCAGAGUGUUGGCUCAAGCCUAAGCUUGAGCCUAAGCUUGACUCUAUGGUAAAGUCAAGUCAAGGGAGAAUAGAAAGGGGGUCACCAUAAAGGUCAAAAGUGGGUUUAGUGGUUGUGUGGGAAUAGGCAGAUCAAGAAAAGAAUGAAGUUAGGAAAGGAGAUAUAAGUGUUGAAUGACCAUUACAAAAAGAGACAGAGGAAAGAAAAAUGAAGAUGUAUCAAAAGAAGUUGCUAAUAUGGAUGGCAAAGUAGAUGUUUUUAAGAAAUCAUGAGACCAGAGUCUUGGAAAAGUCAUAGGAUGAUGCAGGGAAUGGAGAAGAGGGAAAUAAAGCCAGGUGCUGAAGUCUUUAUGUAAUGGGAGGAGAUGUUCCAGUAAUCCAAUGGCUAUUUUGAUGGGAAAGAGUGUGGUAUGAUUGGGUGGCAUUGACAUCGGAAGCCAUCCUCAUUGAUGGUGGUGGAACAGCAGUUUGAAAGUAACAUUGUGCGGUGAGGUAGAGUGGCACAUGAUGCAUCCUUAUUCUUACCUUUGGAGAAAAGUUGAGGGAGACCAAAAAUGACUUUUUGAGGGAAUUGUAGAAGUUUCAUUAGAAGAAAAGUAAGUUUUUAAUUAAAAAGUUAAUCUGAGGAACAGGUAGAAUAAAAGUGUAGUUGUUAGUGGUAGAAGAGAAUGGAUUCCAUAGGGCAAAAUAAGAACUCAAGGGAAGGUUGGUGGAAGAGGAAGAGGAUUGAAUUGUUUCAAGAAAGAAUAGCAGUUGUCAUCCUUAUGAAAAGUAAAAUUUUUAUUUUCAAAUCAGGAAAUGUAAAAUGUGCCUUCCAGACCCCUUGGUGGUAUACAUGGGAGAUUGGUUCUAGGACACACACAGUCCCAUCCCCCACCCUCUGACCCCAUACACCCCCUGGAUACUCAAAUCCACUGAUGCUCAAGUUCCUUGCAUAAAAUGGUAUAGUGUUUGCAUGUGACCUAUACACAACCUCU
rnacentral:lncRNA from 1 species